GUCAAGAUGGCCGUGAGCGGUCUAAGGCGCCGGAUUUAAACUCUGGUUCUCGAUAGAGAGCGGGGUUCGAACCCCACUCUGACA